rnacentral:misc_RNA from 1 species
CGUGCGCGUUUCUCUGCCAUACAACAUGAGUUCGGGCUCCACUCCACCCCCGGCCCUGUCACACGCCCUCCAUCGCGUGGGACGAUGGCGGCCCUAGGCACACGCACCUUGCAGCGAGGUGCCGACUCAGCCAUCUGAGAGCACGGCCCCUGCCCUCAAACGCCACCAACCCACCCCGCCUCACAGGCCGCCACCCCUGGUGCGGCCCCCUCGGGAGGGGGGCUCCGGCUCCCCACACCAGUCGGCAGUGAGGCCCGGGUGAGACAUCUUCGCAUUGCGCUGGCACUUCCCCCAUCAUAUGGACGGGUCAGACCGGUGCACUGUCGCAGGCCGCAGCGAUGCCACGCCGAUCCAGCACCUGGCCGCUGGCAGGGGUAGCGAUACAUCGCCCUGACCCUGUCAGCGCCACAGGCGGUUCGGCAUGGGCAGGCCGAUAGAGGAGAGGGGAGGGGUGCCGCUCGGCUUCUCCCCACGCGGAGAGAGCUGGUGGUGUGGGGGGAGGGGAGGGGGGGCUGCACUGCAGUCUGGGAUACCACGCACGGUGACGUGCUCCCCACCCCCCUUGAUCAGGGGUUGCAUCCUCCUAUCUGAGAGAAAAAUUGCCACGCAGAUCAGCAGCAGCAUCAGGCCAACUGCAUCAGUGAGGAAAAGAAAGUUGAAAGAACGCAGAGUGUCGUGGGCCGUACGCAGACCGCUCAGCCGGACGCACAUCCCUGCAGCUUUCGAGGCAGCAAAUGAAAGCAACUCAUAGAUCUGUGCUACUGCUCACCGUGCGGCGCCGCACCUGUGAGCUCACAUGUGCUCAACAGCACGCUGGUCUUUUUUUUUUCGCGUGGUCCCAAGAGGAUGGGGAUCGUGGCAAGGUGCAACGUCCUUCUGCCCUGUGCUUCUCUACGGUCAACCUUAUUUUUUUGUUCUUCAUCCCUUCUCGAUCUCGCGCUCUCGACUUCACUAACGGAAACUGUGCAUACGCAAG